rnacentral:rRNA from 1 species
AUGCAUACAUUGUGCAUGAGUAGAGGGGGAAAGUUUAAGAGAGAUGACAAGAAAAAUAUUGCUGAUUUCUUUGGAGUGGGUGUCUGGAAUAUACAAAGGAUUUGGAAGAAAGCGAUGGAGCAAAUUGCUGAAGGUCUAGACGUAGAUGUUUCAAGUCAGAGGAAAGGAAAUUGUGGAAGAAAGCCGAAAGACAUCAAUCUAGAGCAAAUCCCUACCAUCCCACUAAACAGGAGGUCUACUAUCAGGUCACUUGCCUGGCAACUCGGGUGCAGCCCUACGGCACUCCACCGGAAGUUCAUGCUCAAGUUGAUAAAGAGGCAUACAAAUUGUUUGAAGCCAGCUCUAAAUGAAAAGAACAAGAAGGAUAGAAUGAAAUUUUGCUUGUCAAUGCUCGAUGAGACAACAACACAAAACGCCAAAAUUCAAGACCAUGCACAACAUUAUUCAUAUCGAUGA